AGUUUUAAAAAUAAAUUACUAGUAUAUGUAUCGUAAGAAAAUUGUGACAUUUUCAAUUACUUAUAAUAAUUAUUGAAAUAUACACAAUUUUAAUUACUAUUUCGGUAAUGUAAACCCUGAAAACUUCUAGCCCACCCGAUAGCAGUGAGUUUUAAUGUUGCUAAAAUCAUAAUUAUAUCUAAAAGAAUUAUAAAAGACGGCAGGGGUUUUCAAAGACCUUGAGAAAUUGAAUAAACAUUUUGUAUUGUAUACGUGAGCAUAGACGUGACUUAGAUUUCAUCGGCAGCGAUAGCAUAGCUAAUGAUCGGUGCCACUUAAUGAACCAAAAAAAUCCCCUUUCAAUUGGGGGUAUGGUUAGUCUCCCCUACCAAUUAAAUAUAUGUAUAACUUAAA